GGGCGAAAAGAAAGCGCGCAACGCGGUGAAUGCCACGCGGCCUAGUCGGUGAGCCGCUACUUCUCAGCUCAGCUGCGGUACACGCAUACUCGAUUACACACCUCACAUACAUAGAUCGCCUUGGCACCGUCCGCGACGUACUUCAACGUCUGCGGGCUGGAUUCGCGUACGCGCGUGCAUCGCACUUGGCAGCAGUACGUGGCUAGGGGGAUGAUCAUCGUCGGCUGUGAUGCCCACGUACUUCUUCCGCAUUCCAUCGUUGCAGGUAUGCACAGUUUCGUUCUUCGGUGGAGGCACGCUCGUCCUAGGCAGCGGCCUCUGGGAUCUCAUGCGCUCCAGGCGCAACGCCGUUCCUGUGUUCAACAGCACCACUGUGGUCAAAACGGAGGAGUCGGCGCGCUACCCGUGCGAAAAAAUCAAGGGCUUUGAUGUUGUUGUGCGCAGCUUUUACGUAUCCGUAGCGACCGAUACCGACGGCCACGCUCCAGCGCCGGCGCUGUCUCUGCUGGCGCGGUUCCGCAGGCUUUCGGGUCUCUUCUCCAAUGAAACGCACCGUGUCGACAACGCUGAUCUAACCAAGACAACGGCAGCAGACCAGCCAGUCCGGUUGGUAGCACGGGAUGCCAAAGACUCAGAUGGCGGAGCCAACACAAGGCUCAUCGCAGCUGCGCACUGGCCACCGGGCACCUCCAAGUAUGCUGCCCUGAUCCUGGAGCCCACCCCGCGGGCCAGCGACGACUCGAGCGCCGCAUUGCCGGCGCAGUCGCGCUCGCUGCUGCGGCAGUUUGCUGACGGGGCCACCCACCAAUCUCUCUCCAGGUGCAACCCACGGUCCACGCUGCUGCACAUGGCGUGUGAGAGCGACCCGGCCUAUCUUGGUGCCCCCUACCUGCGUGUGCUCUUGAGCGCCUUCCUGCUGCUGCCGGCCACCCUCUCGCAGCUGAACGUUGCGGUUCUCGGCGUAGGCGGGGGAUCGCUGCCGCUGUUCCUCCAGCAGUAUUUCGCACCCCGACUGCACCGCUGUGACUUGGUGGAUGUCGAGCCGAUGUGCAUCAAGGCAGCAGUGGAGCAGCUUGGGAUGAAAGAGCUGCUGAACACGGUGGCGUUGCAGUGCGAGGGCGGUGGAGUGCACUACUACCUGGAGGACGCCGUCGACUACCUGUCGCACCGCGUUGGCGAUGCCGACUGCCGAACAGGGUGCCCUUUGCAAGCCGGGUCUGGGAGAUCAGCAGGGAGUGGAGAAGGCGCAUCUGCUGCUCCGCAUCACGGAACUCCUGUUUUCCAUGAUGCCGUUCAGCCGACCCCCGCCGCGGCGCGGGCUACCAGCGCCAAGCGCCAGCGCCAACUCGACUUGCUGUUCGUGGACCUGUUUGUCGGCAGCGAGCUCGAUACGACCGUUACAUCGCACGAGUUUCUGUGCCUGUGUCGCGGCUCCCUCUCCCCUCACGGGGUGGCCGCCUUCAACCUUCCGGCGGCGGACAAGCGGUUUGUGCAGCGCUGCAACGAGGUAUUUGGCAGCCGUAACGUGUACCGUAUUCCCGUUCCGGCAAGCUCGAACGAGGUGGUGCUGGCUCGCGGCGGGCCAAAGAACAGCGGCGCCGUGGCCGACGCUCCGCACCUCUCACACCGCCUCCUGUUUCGCCGCGCGCAGGAGCUGUCGGCGCAUUAUCGUCUUCCCUACGACCUGGCCAACCACUACCCUGUCUGGUGGCGACUGUGGUAGACGGGGUGGGUGGGUGGGCGGGAGAAGAGCUUAACGAUACGGCGCACAUGCACGCGCACACGCACGGCUGUGAUUGUUGAACGAACGAGGGCAUUCUUAAGCGCAGCUGCCUUAGCUUCGUAAAGAUAGGAGGGAGCGGUGAGAGAUCAUUGCGUUUCAGGUGAUCCCCCCCUCCCCCCCCCCGGCGCUCAUGCUCGUGUGCCUCACCGUUCGUACUUCACAGAGAGCUGCUUUUACCCAAGCAACGCGAACGCGACAAGAGCCCACGCGCAGCGAUUUGAGGGAAAGCUAAGCACCGUCAGAGAGGUUGAGGCGGCCAACGCAUACGACGGAUUAUGUGGACGAGUGAAGGAAGGACGACGGUGCCAUCGGCGCCAGAUGUAUCUCGAUUCACAGGCAUCAGCAAG
rnacentral:misc_RNA from 1 species